CAUGAUUUACUUUUUACGAAACAGAUUUCGAGAAUAUAAAUAAUCUAAAUCAUUCAACAAAUAAACGCGCACAUAAUCGAUUAUCAUUGCGCUGUGUUUACUCCAAGUGGACGCCCAGACGUCGCGAUGUUGCCAAAAUGAAAGCGCAGCACGCGGCUCUCGAUUUUUGUAGGGUUUGACAUCUUUAGGAAGUAAACUGUCAUCAAAGUUAAGAAAGCCCCCAACGAUUUCGUCGUCGACCAUAAGUGUCAGUUUAUCACGAUGCCAGAUCAUUGUAUAGUUGUGAAAUUCAUCACCAUAAUGCUGUUUACUCAAAUGAUUCGACAGGAAUUCAAGCGCAGUACCAUGCUGCCAAACAAUCAUACCGCCAUAUACACGAUUGCCCGAGAUAUCUUCCUGUUUAUUGCUGCGCAAGUUAGCAUUACCACGAGCCUGUGCAAUGCCUGAAAUAAUUAUAAAUGAAGCAAAUAUAUCUCAGCAGCGGUUAAUUAUCGAUUUGUGCUUAUGAUGAUACCAGGGAGGGAAAAGCACGAGUAGCUGUCGUUAAAUUUAAAUUUUCCGAUCCGUGUAUGUACGCAGAUAAGUUGAAGAAAUCAAAAAAAAAAACUUAAGAAAACUAAUCGAGUCUAUUAAAGCCAUCAUUAGAUUCGAAAGAUACAAAUUGAAAUAUGUUAAAAGGAAUAAAAAUAUCAAACAAA